GAUGAACGCUGGCGGCGUGCUUAACACAUGCAAGUCGAACGGAAAGGCCCAAGCUUGCUUGGGUACUCGAGUGGCGAACGGGUGAGUAACACGUGGGUGAUCUGCCCUGCACUUCGGGAUAAGCCUGGGAAACUGGGUCUAAUACCGGAUAGGACCACAUUUUGGAUGGUGUGGUGGAAAGUUUUUCGGUGUGGGAUGAGCUCGCGGCCUAUCAGCUUGUUGGUGGGGUAAUGGCCUACCAAGGCGUCGACGGGUAGCCGGCCUGAGAGGGUGUACGGCCACAGUGGGACUGAGAUACGGCCCAGACUCCUACGGGAGGCAGCAGUGGGGAAUAGUGCACAAUGGGAGCAAGCCUGAUGCAGCGACGCCGCGUGGGGGAGGACGGCCUUCGGGUUGUAAACGCCUUUCGCUAGGGACGAAGCGUUAUGUGACGGUACCUGGAGAAGAAGCACCGGCUAACUACGUG
rnacentral:rRNA from 1 species